rnacentral:rRNA from 1 species
UACGAGGGGGGCAAAUGUUGUUCGGAAUCACUGGGCGUAAAGGGAGCGUAGGCGGGCUCUUAAGUUAGGCGUUUAAUCCCGGGGCCCAACCCCGGACCGGCACUUAAAACUGGGAAUCUUGAAUAGUGGAGAGGACAGUGGAAUUGGGGGUGUAGCGGUGGAAUGCGUAGAGAUCCCCAAGAACACCAGUUGCGAAGGCGGCUGACUGGACACAUAUUGACGCUGAGGCUCGAAAGCAUGGGGAGCAAACAGG